CACAGACGCUCCCUGUCAUCAAUAUACAGCAGCUUCCCCUCACCAGCUCCAGACCCGUUUUUUCCCCCAUCUUCUUCCCCUUCAACCAGCAAAUCCAAGGCCUGCACCCGAAGCCACAAAAAAUCCUCUCCCUUCUCCUCCAAAACCGAACAGCCCCCUCCCCGUUUUCAUUUUUUUUCUUCUGCCCCCGUUGAAGUCGCUGGCCAGCCCCCACCACUUUGAAUUUUUUAUUUUUUCUUCUUUCUGGUUCUCACCCAAAGACAAUCGAACCCCCCCCCUUGCCUCAAGAAUUUUUUUUUUUCUCUUCUUCCUUCCCCUCCGGCGAUCCCCCUGCCAGCCCUUUUCUCCGGCGCUGCCCCCUCACAAAUCCAACUCAGCAGCCCCUCACGGCACCAAAUCUUCCCCGCUCACAACCCCCCUCUCUCCCUCUCGGUCACUUUUUCCCUCACCCUCUUCAGCCAUAAAAAACC
rnacentral:lncRNA from 1 species